UACGGGGGGAGCAAGCGUUGUCCGGAUUUACUGGGCGUAAAGAGCGCGCAGGCGGUCGUUCAAGUCGAGUGUGAAAGCCCCCGGCUCAACUGGGGAGGGUCACUCGAUACUGAUCGACUCGAAGGCAGGAGAGGGUAGUGGAAUUCCCGGUGUAGUGGUGAAAUGCGUAGAUAUCGUUAGGAACACCAGUGGCGAAGGCGACUACCUGGCCUGUUCUUGACGCUGAGGCGCGAAAGCUAGGGGAGCAAACGGG
rnacentral:rRNA from 1 species